rnacentral:rRNA from 1 species
AUUGAACGCUGGCGGCAGGCCUAACACAUGCAAGUCGAGCGAGCGGCGGACGGGUGAGUAAUGUCUGGGAAACCUCCUGAUGGAGGGGGAUAAAUACUGGAAACGGUAGCCAAUACCCCAUAUCAUCAGAUCUGCCCAGAUGGGAUUAGCUAGUGGGUGGGGUAAUGGCUCACCUAGGCUACGAUCCCUAGCUGGUCUGAGAGGAUGACCAGCCACACUGGAACUGAGACACGGUCCAGACUCCUACGGGAGGCAGCAGUGGGGAAUAUUGCACAAUGGGCGCAAGCCUGAUGCAGCCAUGCCGCGUGUGUGAAGAAGGCCUUCGGGUUGUAAAGCACUUUCAGCGGGGAGGCGUUACCCGCAGAAGAAGCACCGGCUAACUCCGUGCCAGCAGCCGCGGUAAUAC